GUAAAAUGAACCUCUUUGCUCUUAGGGCCGCAACACACCAUUUGCUCUAUGACGUUUCCUCCAAGAGAAAGGAGAGAGAAGCGAUCAAUGUGUGAUACUAUACAGAUACAGAUAAACCACCUAAUGGUAAGUAUUACACUCACAUUUUAAAGAGCAUUGAAUUCCUGGCUCUGAGUGUAAAAACAAUGAAAAAGUCCAAUAUAAAGUCCAGAUCAUCCAAAAC